CUUUGAUAGAUACGGAGGAGACAAGCUUAAGACUCGAGGCUUCCACGUCUGUGUGCUGCAGCGGUCCCAGAAUGAACAAAACUUUGGAUUCUGAUGGGAUGACUGUGGACAUUCCUCCAAACCAAAACCAAAGAACCUCAUUAGGAAAGACAGAAACACCUGAUACCUUGGACCAUCUACAAGACUUUCUGCAGGAAUUCCUGAAGAGGAAUCUAAAAGCUCUUGGGUGUGUCAUAUCUGGAUCCCUGGCUAUUGUGUCUGCCAAGAAGCAAACAAAAUCACUGCUAACAGGGAAUCUGGGUGCUAACAUUCUUAGCACUGUGGUCUCAAUUGUUGGGAUCUGUAUUCUGCCAUACAGUUUAAUAAAAAUUUUCCACCAUGAUUGCAAGGAAGAAACCAUGUGCUUUGGCAUUAAAUCAAUUGCAACUGUA